AUUGAACGCUGGCGGCAGGCCUAACACAUGCAAGUCGAGCGGAGCGGCGGACGGGUGAGUAAUGCCUAGGAAUCUGCCUGGUCGUGAGGGAUGACGUCCGGAAACGGGCGCUAAUACCACAUACUAUCAGAUGAGGCUAGGUGGGAUUGGCUGGUUGGUGGGGUAAAGGCCUACCAAGGCGACGAUCCCUAACUGGUCUGAGAGGAUGAGCAGUCACACUGGAACUGAGACACGGUCCAGACUCCUACGGGAGGCAGCAGUGGGGAAUAUUGGACAAUGGGCGAAAGCCUGAUGCAGCCAUGCCGCGUGUGUGAAGAAGGUCUUCGGAUUGUAAAGCACUUUAAGCUGGGAGGCGUUACCAACAGAAUAAGCACCGGCUAACUUCGUGCCAGCAGCCGCGGUAAUUC
rnacentral:rRNA from 1 species